GGGGGUGUGGCUCAGUGGCAGAGCAUGUGCUUAGCAUGCAUGAGGUCCUGGGUUCAGUCCCCAGUACCUCCA
rnacentral:tRNA from 1 species